GAUGAACGCUGGCGGCGUGCCUAUUACAUGCAAGUCGAGCGAACGGACGAGAAGCUUGCUUUUCUGAUGUUAGCGGCGGACGGGUGAGUAACACGUGGAUAACCCACCUAUAAGACUGGGAUAACUUCGGGAAACCGGAGCUAAUACCGGAUAAUAUUUUGAACCGCAUGGUUCAAAAGUGAAAGACGGUCUUGCUGUCACUUAUAGAUGGAUCCGCGCUGCAUUAGCUAGUUGGUAAGGUAACGGCUUACCAAGGCAACGAUGCAUAGCCGACCUGAGAGGGUGAUCGGCCACACUGGAACUGAGACACGGUCCAGACUCCUACGGGAGGCAGCAGUAGGGAAUCUUCCGCAAUGGGCGAAAGCCUGACGGAGCAACGCCGCGUGAGUGAUGAAGGUCUUCGGAUCGUAAAACUCUGUUAUUAGGGAAGAACAUAUGUGUAAGUAACUGUGCACAUCUUGACGGUACCUAAUCAGAAAGCCACGGCUAACUACGUG
rnacentral:rRNA from 1 species